UGCCUCAUACAAUGCACAAAAAUAACUCAAAAUAGAAUACAGACCUAAAUGGAAGAUCUUACAUAAUAAAACUUAUGGUAAAAAAAAAAAGAGACUACAUCAUGAUCUUGGAUUAGGCAAUGGUUUAUUCAAUACGAUGCCCAAAAGCACAGGUUACAAAACAAUAGGUAAGUUAGACUUCAUCUAAAUGACAAACUCGUGCUUCGAAGAACACAAAAAUAUAACCCACAGAAGGAGAGAAAAGAUUUGUCAGUCAGAUAUCUGACAAGAGACUUGAAGCUGGCAUACAGAGAUCUUUCUUUUACAACUUGCCAAUUAAAAGUGGUCAAGUAAUCUGAAUAUACAUUUUUCGGGGAAGAGAAGAUGAGUGGCCAACGAGCACAUGAAAAGAUGCCCAACAUCAUUAGGCAUUAGAGGAAUGCAAAUCAAACUACCGGGAAGUACCACUUCGCCAGGAUGGCUGAAAUGAAAAAGACACAAUAGCAAAUGCUGACUGCAACGUGGAGAUGGAAACGUUCAUACAUUGCUGGUGGGAAUGUAAACUAGUACCGUCACUUUGAAAAACAGUUUGGGGUAGACUUUCCGACUUCCGCCAAGAUGGAGGAUUAAGGUGGAUGUGCCUGCCUCCUCUCACAACCAAGUUUAAGGACAACUAAAUAUUAGCAUCAGAAAACACAACCAGAACACGGAAAACUGAACUUUUCGGAAGUCCGCAAACAGCAAAUUCUCCGGCCCGGCCGGUAAGAGGCAAACCGGCGGCGGCGGGUGGAGGAGUUACAAAGGAGAACUCGUUCGACCCGGGCGCGGGCGCGGGACCCAGACGCGCGACUUUUCGGAAGUCCGCAAACAGCAAAUUCUCCGGCCCGGCCGGUAAGAGGCAAACCGGCGGCGGCGGGUUGAGGAGUUACAAAGGAGAACUUGUUCGACCCGGGCGCGGGCGCGGAACCCAGACGCGCGAAUCCAGACGCACGGGUUCCAAACCCAGGAUUGGACCUAGUGAGCAGCCCACCGGAAAAUAAGUUUUCAAAAUGGUCCUCUUCUGAAGAGGAGUUCAAAGAGUUUGCAGUCAAAACAUGUAUGGAAACGUAUUACAGAGGUACGCGGUGACACCGUGCUUACUGAAGUGCUUCCAA